GAUGAAGAACGUAGCGAAAUGCGAUAAGUAAUGUGAAUUGCAGAAUUCAGUGAAUCAACGAAUCUUUGAACGCACAUUGCGCCCGCCAGUAUUCUGGCGGGCAUGCCUGUUCGAGCGUCAUUAUAACCCUCAGGCCCCCGGGCCUGGCGUUGGGGAUCGGCGGAAGCCCCCUGCGGGCACAACGCCGUCCCCCAAAUACAGUGGCGGUCCCGCCGCAGCUUCCAUUGCGUAGUAGCUAACACCUCGCAACUGGAGAGCGGCGCGGCCACGCCGUAAAACGCCCAACUUCUGAAUGUUGACCUCGAAUCAGGUAGGAAUACCCGCUGAACUUAAGCAUAUCAAUAAGCGGAGGA
rnacentral:misc_RNA from 1 species